GAGGUUGUGGCUCAGUGGUAGAGCACUUGCCUAGCAUGCAUGAGGCACUGAGUUCAAUUCUUAGCACCACA
rnacentral:tRNA from 1 species